GACGGAGGGUGCAAGCGUUGCUCGGACUCACUGGGCGUAAAGAGCACGUAGGCGGCUUGGUAAGUCUGAUGUGAAAUCCCACGACUCAAUCGUGGAAGUGCAUUGGAUACUGCUUAGCUAGAGUGCAGGAGGGGUAAGCGGAAUUCCAGGUGUAGAGGUGAAAUUCGUAGAUAUCUGGAGGAACAACGGUGGCGAAGGCGGCUUACUGGACUGUUACUGACGCUGAGGUGCGAAAGUGUGGGGAGCGAACAGG
rnacentral:rRNA from 1 species